GCUGGUUGCAGGCCAGAGCAAGGAGGAGUGCUGUUCCUGGAGUGAGAAGCAGCCCUGAGGAGCAUCAUGCAUGGAAUGGAGGUGUAUUUUCUUGCUGUAGUUUAACUUAAAUAGAUUGUUGUAACACACAUUUAAAGAAAAGAACUGAAGGGAGCUGUUUUCCCAUGGAUGUAAUGUUGAUGUGGGAGCAAGAAGAAAUGGUAAUAGAAUUUUAGCAUUUUAGGGUGUUGUAAUCCUGCAAGGCAAGACUAUCCAGCACUGCUCUGUGUCAGUGAUGUGUUUGUGUCAGUGAUGUCCUUCUGCUCCAAAUGAGUCCCAGGGAACUUCAUCAGCCCUUAGUAGCACAGGGCACUGAGAAUAAUAUUGGGUCCACCUAGUGGAAUAAUUAGACUCAAGCAAUAUGAAAAGUUAAAUUAAACCAUUAAUUGCAAUCUCAGCCUUAGCAGCCUGGCAAUGAAAUGCUUCUUCUCAAUCUUUCCAAGGCAAAAA